UGAUCGAUGGAAUCAUAAUUUAUAUAAACUGCAAUUUGCCUUCAUGAAACAAUUGCAUUUUGAACAUUGUUGGAUUAAGUGGAGAAAACAUAAAAUAUGUGUAUUAAAAAGGGAUAAUUUAGUAAAUUUAGGGUUGUGUUUUUAGUAAAUUGUUAAAAUGAAAACAAUUGAUAAGUGGUGUAUUAAAUAAGAUAUGUGUAUCUAGUAUUUUGAUAUGUGUGAAUAAAAUUUCCCUUGUCCAAUUCAUAGAAACUAGACUUUUUAGCCAAAUUACCACCCUAACUGUCACUUUAGUGUCAAUUUGCUACUCUAGCUUUCAUUUCAGCCAAUUUGCUACCCUAGGUUUUCAUAGUUAGCCAAUUUGCUACUCUAGGUAUUAUUUAUGCCGAUUUGCUACCUUAUGUUUUCAAAAUUAGCCAAUCUGGUACAUUUAUGUCAUUUUAAUUUAUUCAUUUCUUUAUCCA
rnacentral:lncRNA from 1 species